CAUAUGAAAUGUGCCAUAAUCCAGCUUUUCCCACAUCAGAGGAUGAAGAAACCACUUUCCUGUAGCAUUGCAUAUAAAGAGGACUGCUGGAACAGGGGGAAAGCAAUCCAACAUUCCAGCAAUGUUGGAUGAAUACUCAUAUUUCUUGCAUGAUUCAGUCACAUCAGGAAAAUACCUGAGCUUCUGAAACGAGAUUGAGAUGUAGACAUCAUCUCACCAGCCCACAGUCCUUUCAGUGCAAUUGGGAAGAUCCAGAACUACUAUGUCAAAAAUUACUAUCAGCCUUCAAAUGAUAUCACUACAUCCAGGCACCAGGCUGAGAACAGAAAAAAAAAAGAAGAAAACCAACAUAAUGCAAAACUUGUGAUGUGAUCCCGAGCUGUCAACAUCAAAUACUUCUGGAUAAUUAGAGGACCAGACAUGACUUGCCCAAAUGGAUAUUUGAUUUACUGCAUGUCCCCACAAAUAUAUACUCACGGGUCAUUCAAUCCCUGCUUCUGAAGCAAGGUAGAGACAGUAGCAACUGCAGGCAGGGAUACUGUAGUGCUGGGGAAGGGGAUGGGCUUGGGAACUCCCUCCCUUUGAGGACUUCCAAGAGAGAAACAACCGGGAGCGUAAUGCCAGUCAGGAAAUCUUGUUCACUGGAACUUCUCGAGUCUUUGGUGACCAGAUAGCCAUGUUUGACAGCUAAAGCAGUUUGGAUCCAUCUUGGUGUUGUGCCUGUGCAUUGGGACAAGAAAUAGUUACAUGGAGCAUCUGCCCAGCCUACUCCUCGUGGCAGGACCAUAAGGUUUAAAAGCAGCAAUGGAAAAAGCCACCACUCCAGAAACACUGCGCUCUGUGGCAUCCCAGCUCUGCUCUACUGCCCCUUCUUCAAGACCACAGAAGAAGGGAGAUGCUCUGGGGUAGGUGAGGCAUUUCUGCAUCAGGAGGAGGUUGGAGGCACGGGCAGGGGCUGGGCAUGCAGUGUGUGAGAGAGCUUGGGGUCAGGCAUGGGGGUUAAAGGAAAUAGGAAGAAGGUUUUCCACCUCCUAAGACCUCCUAAGUGAGGAAUUAAAACUCCCAUGAGAGAUGAGGGAGAGCAGAGUGAUUCUGGGAUUGGACAGGACUGGGAAGUCAUUGCUUGUGCCUCAGCCCUGAGUGAUCCCCCACUUUCUCCCCUGGGGAAACGCAAGGAGAGGGGAGGAAAUGGAUUGGCAGUUUUGGCACUGGAUCUCUGUGACACCAGCCCUCUGGCCCCAGCAGUUGUGCCUUAGGGGGAAGCAGACAGGAGCCCUGGCCCAAGGCAGCUGUGGGACAGCCAGAGGAGGCAGUGGGAGGAGAGACACCCCAGCAAGGGCCGUGGAAGGAGGCAAAGCCCAGCAAAGCCCUAUUUUCAGUCCAUACUGUCAGGCAGGAUUUGUUCAGGGACAAUACAUUUCCCCGUUGUGACAGCUCUGGCAGACGGUGCAAGCAUUGCUGGUCCAAAGCUCUGCUCAGGGGCUCGCUUCCUAAUUAGGAAGAGAAUUUGGGAAGAGUUCCUGAAUUUUUGCUGUUGUUUACCAACAUCCUGGUGGUCACCUUGCUAGGGCAAAGCACUUCUGCAGCCUGGAGGUAUUUGAUAAGAACUGCCAGAGGACAGCUGAUGGAGGAAGUCUUCAUGGUACAAAUGGUCCCACAAAGGUUCUGUCUGCACAGAAAGGGAUGCACAGGCUUGGACCUGACAAAGAAGACAAAUAAGCAAUGAUUUUUGAGGAUGUAUUUAAAGUAGAAUAAUGAACCUUACAGAGGAAGUUUUCAUAGUCAGAGUGCAGGAACAGGAGAGGAUCAAGCAAAUUAAGAGGCAAAUGUAAGUAAAAUACAAUUCUUUUAAGGAAGGGCCUUUAUAUACACAACCAAUAAUUAACUUCUGAAACUUACUGCCCCAGCUGCUAUUAUUGAGGUCAGCAAAUAAAUAAGAUUUAAAGAGGCCCAUGAAUAAUAAAAAACACCAAGCGUUGCACUCAGUAGAAUAACAAAUUACAAGGGAUAUAAAUCACCAUGCUUUAGAUCUUAAAUAAUAAUAAAUUGCCCAGUGAUUAGAAGGCAACUUUUGCUAGGGGCAGGUUCCUUGGUAAUUGCUCAUUUUAGCACUUCUUGCCCUUUUCUUCCCCCUGAACGUGCAGUGCUGGCCACUGCCUCAACAAGAGAAAUGUGUCUUGAUGGUGAGCAGACAUUUUCUCUGCCUAGUGUAUUACAGUGAAGAAUUUCAGCUUCUUCUCUUAAAUAAGAAUUACUUAAAAGGGAAUUUCCC